UAGAAGAAAACUACCCUACAAUGACAGUUAUAUAUCUCAAAAAAUGAAUGGAAGAAAAAAAAACUGUCACGAAAUAUAAAAUUUCGCGUUUUUGGCGGGAAAAGACGGAAUUUUUCGGAAAACACUUUUCGUGACAGUUAUUAACUGUCAUAGAAUGUUAGGGUUAAAAUUUUUUUCUUUUUUCCUUUUCUUUUCUUUUUCCUUUUUCUUUCUUUUCCCUAUUUCCUUCUUCCUCCCCGUGCGUCCUUCCCCUUCUCCCCAGCCGCAACCGCCGCGCCUCUUCUCCUUCCUCUCGUACGCCGCGACGACUCCACCGUCUCCUUCUCCUUUCCUUCUCUUUUCUCUUUUCCUUCCGCCGUUCCCUUCCGUCUUUCUUUCCGCCGCAGCCCAGCCGCCCCAUCCUUCCCCUUCUCUCCGUUCGCGAAGCAAAACCGCCACCGCUCCGCCGGAAAUCAAGGCCAAAGGAGAUGUCAUGGCUAUGGGCUGAAGCUUUGAGAAAAAAAGAAUGAAAAAUGAAAUGAAAUCAAGGCCAAAGGAGAUGUCAUGGCUAUGGGCUGAAGCUUUGAGAAAAAAAGAAUGAAAAAUGAAAUGUGAGAUCUUAAACUUUGUACUUUGCCUUAAGUUGUGUCAAACUAGUCAAUAAAGUAACUUAACUACCAAUUUGCCUUAAGUGCCGGGUUGUUGGGAUUUGUUUGUUGUAAUUUGUCUAGGGUUAUGUGUGUUUGUGAUGUGUUGUUAGUGAGUAUGUUGAAUUUUGUGUUCGAGCUUCCAGAUGUGAAGUAUAUAAAAUGUUAUUUGUAAUUGUUUUAAACUUGAAACGCCUUUGAUAUUUGUUAUUCUCUUGUGUCAUAUGAUUAUGUUUCAGGACAUCUACUGAUUAAAAUCAUGAGACCUCAUGCAUACGUGUAUACGCAUAGUUAUUAUAUUUAAAAGUUAUGAUUUUGGUAAUCAUCAUCAUGGGUAAAGUUUCAGUAGUGGUUUACAUGACACCAAGAGUUAAGAUUAAAGAGAAAACGAGUGAGUUGUACACUUAUAGAAUGGUAUUACUUUGGUUUAAGGACUUGUGAAUGAUCUAUAUGUUUUCUUUGUAAGAAGGAUAACAAGGUGGAGUCGAGGUCCAGCAAGGGUGCAACACUGAAUGAGCUGGUUGAGCUCAAAGGUUGUUCUUCCAGCCUAUUUUUCGAGUGCAGAAAACAUAAAGAUCUUUAUCUAUGUAUGGCAAAGUGCCCUAGUGGGCCAUCUGUGAAGUUUUUAGUUAAUGCCAUUUGUUUUCUCUAUUGUUGAUGACCAUAUCUGGUUCUGGAAUUACCAGGUUCAACUGGAGUCGACAACUUCAUGAGUUUUCUUUCAAAGAACAUUUCCAGAGACGAACAUUCUCGGUUGGUCGUUUAUGCUUCUGCAGAAAAUCUUGUUAGAUGUAUUCUAAUGCUAUUUAAAAUAUUUUUUGAUUAAGGGCUAGUAUUUCGUACAUGUGGAUUAUUGAAACUUGUAUUAAGAUGUACAAAUAUUAUAAAUCGUAUUAUAGUGUAUAUAUAUUAAAGUGUUGGCUAUUUUUUUGUA